GGGGGGUGGUGCUGGGGAGGCAGGACGGGGUCGGGGGCGCUGUGCGCUGACAAAGGAGACUGUAGCUUGGAAGAGCGAAAUGUGCUGCGGCGGGGGCGGAGAGGGCGAAUUUCUAAUUCCACCCACCGCACCCCGAGAGCACUGCGCCGGUUUUGCAGGCUUACUGGCUUUGGGCACAGACUUCCAGAGCUCCUGGGACAAGGUUGUCCGCAGAGAGAUGAUCACAGAGAGGCUGAGGGAGAACAGAACACAGGAAAAGUCUCAUGGAUCUCAAGGAAAACGAGCAUGAUUUCCGGCUGCCCUUCUGCUUCCUUGGAAGCGAGGGACACUUAAACAUCCUAUUUCCCCACAGCAACAUGGCGGAGGCUUCAAGGGGACAACCCGACAUCAGAAGUCAAAAGGCAACCCCAAAAAGAUACCCAAGGAAUGAACGGCGGAGGGCAGUCCUGUCCACCACCUGCUUGUUAAACCCGUGAAGGAAAAGUCAACGUUGCCUUUUGUAACUGCUGAUAGAAGAAACCCAAGUCAGAAGUAUCCUUGCGACAUGCCCACACCAGCCAGCCUCACUGAUGAAAGCAACCAACCCAAACAGGACCCGCAAACCACACAGGAGACCCAUCCCUUACACGAAUUCGUCUCAGUGAUCGGUCUGAUCAUGUGAUUUUUUGAGACAGCUGCUUCAGGGAGAUUUUAACUUCGGUUCGAACUGACCAAUAUAUUCCACGACUUGUAUCUACCAGGAAUUUGGGGGCCAGAUUCUGAGCUACCAAGAGGAUUCUUAUCACUGGGAGCAAAAUAACUGAAAACGUAAUCAAUGGUACCAAAAAGGGGUCUCCUUCUCUAAAAUACACACCUAUCCUGACCACCUGCAGCACGUAUCACCAAUAAAUUGCCCAAUAAAUUGGCAUUGUGGAUGAUAAAUCAGUUCCUACAUCUGAUCAGUUCUUCCCAGGAAACAUCAAUGAGGUUUUUUUUUUCCUUUUUUUAUGCUUAUUUAUUUUUGAGAGUGAGAGAGACAGAGCACGAGUGGGAGAGAGGC